rnacentral:lncRNA from 1 species
GGAGGGGCGGCGCUCCCGCCGGCUGGGCUUCGGGGCAACGUUAACCGGCGCCCGCCGCCACCGGAGCAGGAGGUACCGGGGCCGCGUGGAGGAUGGGAAAGAUUGAGUGAAGUGGGAGCUGGGAUGUGCUGCGGGGAGGUCCAACCUCAGAGUCCACUUCCCUUCGCUGCUAGGGAGACUUUUAUGAGCGGAUGGGAAAGAGCCAGAAGACAGAGUGGCUGAGGCCCCCGGAGAAGGAAGGGCAGGUGGAUGGACUGAGGUCCCAGCGGAUGCGGGAGGUGGCAGGUGCCCAGCACUGGUCCAGAGAGACCUUCCGAGCUGAUGGAUUUGCAGGCGCGGGAAGCAUGUGGAAGGCCGUGUUCGUGUUGCAGAGAAGGUUGGCUGCUGAGCCAGGGCGUGUCUGCAGGAGGCCUGCCAGGCUGCCCGGAUCCCCACCUCACCACCAUGGGCCACCCAGGCUGGUCAGUUCCAGUCCUUGAUUUCGCCACGGUUCCCUGCCCUUGGCACUGGGGGAAGGCCGGACCCAAUUGCUCAAGUCCCAGGUUUCUGGCAUCA